rnacentral:misc_RNA from 1 species
GGACGGUGUUUGUUAUGCUGUGAUGCAGAAUAGUCACAGACACCGCCCCCAUAUAUAAGGUUGUUACCUCGCAUGGACACCGUUUCAAGAUCGUCGUCUGGAAUUUAUCAAAGCCAUUUCUCUCAUUCUCUCCGUAUAAUUGUUCAUUUGGCAGUUUUCGAUUUCGAGAGAAGCAUUUGAAAAUGCCUGGACUUAAAGGACCCUCGGAUUAUUCGCAGGA